UGCCGGGAAGAUGUGCAUGACUGGAGCAUCCGGUUACAUCACCUCGCGGUUCGUCAAGCCCCUCUUGCAGUGUGGCUGCACCGUCAAUGCCUCCGUUCACGAUCCAAGUUUCGAGAAUGGAGGAGGGUGACGAAUUUAUGAAGAACGCAUGAUGGGGCUGGUUUCUUCAUUUUGCUCCUUGAAUCAAUCUUAUUAGACUGAAUUUACAAAAUUCCUAAUAUGGUAAAUUCAUGGUAUUUUGGACCUUAUGGUUUUCCAUCUAAUGCAAGGUUUUGUCCGGUUAGGACCUUUCUUGUGAAAUGAUUCAUUUUGAUUAA